GACGAACGCUGGCGGCGUGCUUAACACAUGCAAGUCGAACGGAAAGGCCCUGCUUUUGUGGGGUGCUCGAGUGGCGAACGGGUGAGUAACACGUGAGUAACCUGCCCUUGACUUUGGGAUAACUUCAGGAAACUGGGGCUAAUACCGGAUAGGAGCUCCUGCUGCAUGGUGGGGGUUGGAAAGUUUCGGCGGUUGGGGAUGGACUCGCGGCUUAUCAGCUUGUUGGUGGGGUAGUGGCUUACCAAGGCUUUGACGGGUAGCCGGCCUGAGAGGGUGACCGGCCACAUUGGGACUGAGAUACGGCCCAGACUCCUACGGGGGGGAGGAGUGGGGAAUAAUGCAAAAUGGGCGGAAGGCUGAAGCAGCAACGCCGGGUGGGGGGUGACGGCCUUCGGGGUGUAAACCGCUUUCGGCUGUGACGAAGCGUGAGGGAAGGGAAUGGGUAAAGGAGCAACGGCUAACUAAGUG
rnacentral:rRNA from 1 species